rnacentral:rRNA from 1 species
UCAAGCUACAAAGGGCGCAUGGUGAAUGCCUUGGCACUAGGAGCCGAAGAAGGACGCGAUAAGCUGCGAUAAGCCUUGGGUAGCCGCAAAUAGGCUGAGAUCCAGGGAUUUCCGAAUGAGGAAACUCACAUGGGUAACCCCAUGUAUCAUGCACUGAAUACAUAGGUGUAUGAGGGUAAACCCGGGGAACUGAAACAUCUAAGUACCCGGAGGAAGAGAAAGAAAAAUCGAUUUCCUAAGUAGCGGCGAGCGAACGGGAAAGAGCCCAAACCAGAAACUUGUUUCUGGGGUUGUGGAUAGAUCAUAAAAGAAGAGGUAUCUUAAUCGAAGAGGGCUGGAACGCCCUACCAUAGAAGGUAAUAGUCCUGUAGAUAAAAAGAGAAAACUUCGAGAUCUAAUCCAGAGUACCACGAGACACGUGAAACCUUGUGGGAAGCAGGGAGGACCACCUCCCAAGGCUAAAUACUACCUAGUGACCGAUAGUGAAGCAGUACCGUGAGGGAAAGGUGAAAAGAACCCCGGAAGGGGAGUGAAAUAGAACCUGAAACCGUGUGCCUACAACCGAUCGGAGCACGUUAAAGUGUGACGAUGUGCUUUUUGUAGAACGAGCCAGCGAGUUACGCUAUGUAGCAAGGUUAAGUACUUAAGGUAUGGAGCCGAAGGGAAACCGAGUCUGAAAAGGGCGAAAAGUUGCAUGGUGUAGACCCGAAACCGGGUGACCUAUCCAUGGCCAGGUUGAAGCGAGAGUAAAAUCUCGUGGAGGACCGAACCACGUUGGUGUUGAAAAACCAUGGGAUGAGCUGUGGAUAGCGGAGAAAUUCCAAUCGAACUCGGAGAUAGCUGGUUCUCCUCGAAAUAGCUUUAGGGCUAGCGUCGUGUAAUUGAGUAAUGGAGGUAGAGCACUGAAUGGGCUAGGGGCUAUAGUAGUUACCGAACCCUAUCAAACUCCGAAUGCCAUAUACUUGUAUCACGGCAGUCAGACUGCGAAUGAUAAGAUCCGUAGUCAAAAGGGAAACAGCCCAGACCAUCAGCUAAGGUCCCAAAGUGUAAGUUAAGUGGAAAAGGAUGUGGGAUUUCUAAGACAACUAGGAUGUUGGCUUAGAAGCAGCCACUCAUUUAAAGAGUGCGUAAUAGCUCACUAGUCAAGAGAUCCUGCGCCGAAGAUGUCCGGGGCUCAAACUUACCACCGAAGCUAUGGGUGUACACUAUGUGUACGCGGUAGAGGAGCUUUCUGUAUGGGUUGAAGUCGUACCGUAAGGAGCGGUGGACUGUACAGAAGUGAGAAUGCUGGCAUAAGUAGCGAGAAAUAAGUGAGAAUCUUAUUGGCCGAAAACCUAAGGUUUCCUGAGGAAGGUUCGUCCGCUCAGGGUUAGUCGGGACCUAAGCCGAGGCCGAAAGGCGUAGGUGAUGGACAAUCGGUUGAUAUUCCGAUACCACCUAUUUACGUUUGAGAAAUGGGGUGACGCAGUAGGAUAAGAUGUGCGCACUAUUGGAUGUGCGUCUAAGCACUUAGGCAUGCUUGAUAGGCAAAUCCGUCGAGCUAAGCUGAGGUGUGAUGGGGAGCCAUUUAUGGCGAAGUAUCUGAUUCCACACUGCCAAGAAAAGCCUCUAUCGAGUGAAUAGGUGCCCGUACCGCAAACCGACACAGGUAGGUGAGGAGAGAAUCCUAAGGCCAUCGGAAGAAUUGCUGUUAAGGAACUCGGCAAAUUGACCCCGUAACUUCGGGAGAAGGGGUGCCUACGAAAGUAGGCCGCAGAGAAUAGGCCCAAGCAACUGUUUAGCAAAAACACAGGUCUCUGCUAAAGCGAAAGCUGAUGUAUAGGGGCUGACGCCUGCCCGGUGCUGGAAGGUUAAGGGGAACACUUAGCGUAAGCGAAGGUGUGAACUUAAGCCCCAGUAAACGGCGGCCGUAACUAUAACGGUCCUAAGGUAGCGAAAUUCCUUGUCGGGUAAGUUCCGACCCGCACGAAUGGCGUAAUGAUUUGGGCACUGUCUCAACAGCAAAUCCGG